rnacentral:rRNA from 1 species
AGCAGCCACGGUAAUACGAAGGGUGCAAGCGUUAAUCGGAAUUACUGGGCGUAAAGCGUGCGUAGGCGGUGAGUUAAGUCUGCUGUGAAAUCCCCGGGCUCAACCUGGGAAUGGCAGUGGAUACUGGCUCGCUAGAGUGUGUCAGAGGAUGGUGGAAUUCCCGGUGUAGCGGUGAAAUGCGUAGAGAUCGGGAGGAACAUCAGUGGCGAAGGCGGCCAUCUGGGACAACACUGACGCUGAGGCACGAAAGCGGGGGGAGCAAACAGGAUUAGAUACCCCCGUAGUCCCUGUCUCUUAUACC